rnacentral:lncRNA from 1 species
ACCAGGAAGCCUUGCCUGCCAUGCCAACUUCAACAGUCUAGAGAGGGGGCUUGCCAUCAUCAGUUUGGAGGUGAGGACGCUGUGGUUCAGAGAAGUGAGGUGGCUUCUCCGAGGUCACACAGUCCAGUGAGAGAGCUACGAUUUAAACCAGGUCCGUCUUAAUCCACUGAAUGUGCUAUAUCAGGAGAGAAAGGUUUUGCUUGGAAUCUGCCAUCAGCAAUGCCGAGGCCUGGCCUUGGUGGAAAUGGAGGUGCUGCUUAACUUUUCUUCCAAAACAUAGUACAACCCUAGUCAUCCUGGUAGAGGACCUUUGGAGAUGUGAAUGAAAACAGCUGUCUGAACAAGUGGUACCCUAACUAGCGCGGCUGAAUGAGUCCCUGGCUGCCUUUCUGGGAAGGGAAUGGCUUCCUGUGGUGAUGAACGAAGCCAGCCAAGUGCAGGUCGAGGCAUGCUCUCCACCCUCCCUAGAAGCUGUGCCACCAACGAAAGCUUUUCCCUGCACCUGUAGUAGAGGUUUGCUGAGCAUCUCACCCAGUGUCAGCUGAGUUGCAGCAGCAACAGGACAGAUCUUAGAUUUCUGGAAGAGCUUCACCAUCCUGAACACACGUGGGAGAAAAGCAGGGAUCCCGAUCUGCUGCCAAAAUGAGAUCUCCCUUACGGCAAUGUGGUGGGAGCGGCUGAGCAAAUGAACUAAUAGCACAAAGCAGGAAAUCUGUAGAGAUGGCAGCCGGUCACAUUUCUCCUAUAGACACAAUUAUAUCUUGAUUGUACGUUUUCUGGAGCUCCAGUCUAGUCUCAUCAUUCCAUCUACUGGGCUAUGGAGGAUCAUCUUUGAGAUCAGGCGGCAUCUCAGCAAGUGGCUUGGUUGACUUUGACUUUGGCAGCCUUGACUAACUCAGUGGAAAAGGGGUUUUCUACAUUUACCUCCAUUCAUGUUAUUGUCUACAAUGUUUUGCUCCUCACUUGCAAUAGAAGAAAGAAAGUUAGUCAAGAGCACAGCUGGUGGCAAUUUUGCUCUGAAUUCAGAGGUUGUGGAGCAAACAGGAAAUUUCAUGCUGCAGCCGUGGUGGAGGCCAACUGAGCUUUAGUGACUUACAUGGUGUGUCCACAACCUGCUUCCCGUGAAAUUGCCUAUAAGCAUGGACAACCUGGGAAGCUGCGGCUGAGCUGCUUCUCUAGAAGCCUCUCUGGAUUUCAUAACUAGGCUCCUUCUAGCAUUUAGUAAAACUGUACUCUCCUAUGCCUUAGAUUGACUGAACUUGGCCUGUGCCCUAUUUUAAAAGUCAGCUGGGCUUCUAAAGCAUGAGAGUAGGCAGUCCAUGGAGAGUCGUCUUCUCCCAUCGUAAAGAUUCAGGAGAUCUCUCAACUCCUGGCAAGGAGUAUGCUGUGUUCCUGGCUGAACGAACUCACUUACCUCAGUCUAGAACUUAACCUGAGGCACGCACACCUUUGGUAAUGUUUGUGAUUCUAAUGAUGUCUAAACUGAUCCUCCUGGCCUGGUGUCAGCCACUUGUGAGAAUCUCACACUCCAUUUAGACUCAGGAGACCUACUUCUCAUCCAGAAUAUUUUCCUAAAAAAAAUAAACUUCAUCCUGUGUCAAAUGAAAGGGUCAAACUCAACAAUCACUAAGGUCCUAUCAGCUCUAGAAUGUUCUAAUUUAUCUUAUUCUAGCUUUGCUGGAAGUUGAGACCAGCUGUUUACUCUCAUUAAGAGAGAGUCUCACUCUCCCAUUAUCAUUCUAGAAUGUCUUAAGCUCCCAUAUCCUCAUCUUAGCUUUUGCUCUUUGCUCCACUAAAGCAAAUCUCCAUUUAUUUGGCCUUUUCUCAGAGGGACAAUUUUCCCAAACAUAUCAUCAUCCAUGUAGACAUGGAACCUUUUGGGACCCUCUCUAAGGUCUUUACAUCAUCCUGCAAUUGUACCUUCCAAGCAGAACACCAAUACAAGCUUAACUGGAGUGGGAUGAUGUGGUUGGGUAUGGAUACAGUCAGAUUCUGCCUUUCCAAGCCUUGCUUCUGUGAGAGCUAAACAAUUUCAGGGAGCUUGCAGCCCACUGUCAUCUGCAGUUGGGUUCAUUUAGAGUAGAGGCCACGUUAGCUGUAUUAUAAACAUGGUGGCCAACAAUGAAUGGCCUGGACUCAUUCUCCUCUUGGCUUGUGCAGAGAGAGGCCAGUCAGGUGGCUUAGAGACGUUGUUGGCAGGAACCAUCACUGCCUCUAUUUGGGAAUGAAGGACCAUAAAUGGUGGCUGCCUUCCAAACUGCCAAUAAAUAAGUAAAUAUAGAGAGUGUUGACAUUGGUCUCCCUGCCAAACACCAGUCUGCUUCUAUUCUCAUUUUGGGGGAAACGAAAGAGAGAAGGAUUAUUGAAUAGGCUUUUGAGAAGUAGCCUCAGUUCUACUUGGAAUCUCUUCCCUUUUUGGAAACAUUUCAGUCGGCUUUCUGGCCCUUAUUGGAGAGAGAGACAAUUCUGUCAAACAUGAGAUUGUGUUAGCUUAUUCAUAAUAAUGAUCAGCAAUAGGCUGAAAUUGAGCCACUUCUAAGGUUGAACUGUUGUCAACAGAUACUUCAGCUAUAGUUUGGAAUAACAGCUUAGCCCCUGAGAGGGAGGGUGUGAAUUUAGCAUGCAGCCAACUCCAAGACAGUUUAAGGUGCUGGCCAAGCACGUGGCACUUUAGGAAUACUCAGCUUUGGGGCUCAACUUCCUCUCAGCCCACAGAUUUACCAGGUUUUUAACCCCUGCCUCCUGAGUUAGAAGGUUUUGUGAAUUGAUUCAGUCUGAAGUUGGACAACAUGGCAGCAUGUUUCUCAGCAUGGAAGGCAUUGAGAAGACAUAGCUUGCUUACUUUUGCAUGCCUCAUGCUUAACAUGGUGUCUGUCACAUCAAAGGCACUUCAUAUCUACUUGUGCAAUGGAUGAAUGAAUUUAGAGAUGCUUUGCUUCCUCUCUGCUGUUAUCAAUAAUCUCAGACUGUUCCUGUAUUUUGAAUUACUCCAGAGCCACACUCUAGGAUAUCUGAAGUUUAGGAUUUGGCUCUUUCACAUGCUUCUGUUGCCACCUACCCAUGUCCAACUAUCUUCUCCUUAACACCUACCCCACCAGCAUGAUGGAGGGCUCUCUAUAAAGGCUCUCCUAGCCCAUGCUGCACACACUUUUUCCUGUUCUGAAGCAUGUCUCUAGAAAUUCUACACACUUGCUUCCCCCCUUUAAAAAAAUCAUUUCACUCCUUUCCUGUUCCUUUUCCCACUUCUCUUGAGAACUUUCAAGAGCCUGCAAUAUAAACAGCUCUAAAUGAGAAAAUCUGACUGAGAAACUGAGGAAAGAGAAGGCCAAGGGCCAAUGGAGGAGUCGGGCACAAUAACUUCUCUUUUCAUGAGAUUCGGUGGGGUUUUCUCCUUGGAUGGCUGGUCUCCUGGGCAGAGCUGCUAGCCUUAAAGGGCCACAUACGUUAGAUUUCCACGGUUGUGUUUUGUUUGUUUGUUUGUUUGUUUUUGAGAUGGAGUCCCGCCCUGUCGCCCAGGCUGGAGUGCAAUGGCGCGAUCUCAGUUUACUGCAACCUCCACCUCCCGGGUUCAAGCGAUUCCCUUGCCUCAGCCUCCCAUGUAGCUGUGACUACAGGCACACACUACCAUGACUGGCUAAUUUUUUUUUUUUUUUUGUAUUUUUAGUAGAGACGGGGUUUCACCAUGUUGACCAGGGUGGUCUCGAACUCUUGACCUCAGGUGAUCCACCUGCCUUCGCCUCCCAAAGUGCUGGGAUUACCGCAUGAGCGCACCCGGCCUCCAUGGUUGUUUUGACAGCUGAAGUGCAAAGGAAUUAAUUUUUCUAUUUUAUGUUAUUUUAAAAAUAAUUUUACCUUUUAUUUUAGAUUCAGGGGGUACAUGUAUAGGUUUGUUACAUGGGUAUAUCGCAUGAUACUGAGUUUUGAGUUAUGAAUAACCCUGUCACCCAAGUAGUGAGUAUAGUAUCCAAUAGUUAUUAUAGUUUUUCAGCCCUUUCCCCUCUUUCUUACUGGCCCCUACCCCCAGUAGUCCCCAGUGUCUACUGUUCCCAUCUUUAUGGCCAUGUGUACCCAAUGCUUAGAUGCCACUUAUAAGUGAGAACAUGUGGUAUUUUGUUUUCUGUUCCUGUGUUAGACAUUAACCCUUUAAGUCAAAGUCUUCUAUAGUUUAGUUACUGCUUUUCUUCAAAGUGUGAUUUAUUAUUCACCUCUUAAGGCAUGAGUGUCAGAGCACAUUCACACGCACACACACUGGAUGCUACUGGGUUUUUUACGAGUUUAGACAUGACCGAUUUCCCUGCACAUCCUCACGGCAUCUGAAUAACCCAAGACUUCCUACUAAUGGUUUCAAGAGGAGACUUUCAGGUAAUUAGGGAGAUUCUGUUUUCCAAGAAAAGCUCUUCUUUUCAGAAGUCUGAUUCCAAGGAGUUGUAGAUGAUUGCUUCAUUUUGGGAGCUGGUAUAGUUUAACGAGCAGCUUAUGCCACACUGAUCUCUAGCAUAUUUGUAUCGACAAGGAGACACAAGCCUGCAUGAUUGUGGUUUUUUCCCUAGGUUCCUAAUAGACCUUUGUUAUUUAUAUUUUUAAUUGUGUGAAAGUACCUGAAAGCUUAGUGGCAAAGAAGACAGUUGUAAAAAAUUGAAUAAAUAAAUACAUUUAAAAAAAUCCAAGUUAGUGAUGUCUGACUUCCUCUAUUCAUGUUAUUGCUACUCUUGUUGCUUUUUGGUUUUUGUUUUGCUUCUUGACUGUUGUUGUUUUCCAGGAAAGCUGUCAUUUAUCGUGAGAACAAGAGCAGCCAUGUGUUGAUUUUUCUGGAUUCUUUUUGGAUACUAUCCCAGUGCUAAUGAAGGCCCUUCCAAAGUGCUAAAGAGCUGGUGCCAAAAUCAGUUACGCUGAAAACAAUAGAGAGUGGUACACAGACAGCAUAUAUAUACCCGUAUAUGUAUACGCACGCCUCGAUAUCUGAAUUAAUACGUGUGUGUGCACCUCCCUCUGUUUAUGCAAAUAUACACACGCAUCUGUGCAAACACAUAAUGUGUGCGCCGGAGCUACACUGAGGAGAAUGUGACGGCUGCAUUUUAAUAAAAGGACUUUUUAUAGCUGCUUGCAGAAAAUUUUUCUUUGAUCAAGGGAUGAGCAAAGUUUCUAAAUGUUGCAGCGCCCGAAUUUGUCAGUUUGGAAGCUACUAAAAAUGUACUUUCAUCAGUUAAAAAAUUUAGGGAGGAAAAUAAAUAUUAUAGAUAGUAUUUGUUUUACUAGGAGAUGAGGAUACUACUACAAGAAGCACCUGGAAAGUGCUUAGCAUAGGCUUGGUUGCUGUGCUUAUAUUAACAAAUUCUUUAACAUGGAUGUUUGCGUACUUUAGAGGUAGUUUAUUAGCUGAAAGAGGGGACAUUUUGUAGCUGGGCUCUCUGUGCCCUCAAUAGAUUUUCCCUGCCUUUCUCCCAAUGUGUAAUUAUUCUGUCCUCAAUUUGUUUACACAG